rnacentral:rRNA from 1 species
AACGCGAAGAACCUUACCCCGUCUUCACAUACGCGGGAAACUUCCAGAGAUGGUUUCCCCGUAAGGUCCGUGCACAGGUGGUGCAUGGUGGUCGUCAGCUCGUGUCGUGAGAUGUUGGUUUAAUUCCCGCAACAAGGGCAACCCCCGUCCCAUUUUGCCACCAAUUCGGGUGGGGACUCAUGAGAGACUGCCGGGGUCAACUCGGAGGAAGGUGGGGAAGACGUCAAAUCAUCAUUCCCCUUAUGUCCUGGGCUUCACCCCUGCUACAAUGGCCGGUACAAAGGGGUGCGAAACCGUGAGGUGGAACCAAUCCCAAAAAGCCGGUCUCAGUUCGGAUUGGGGUUUGCAACUCGACCCCCUGAAGUUGGAGUCGCUAGUAAUCGCAGAUCAGCAACGUUGCGGGGAAUAAAUGCUUCCGGGUCUUGUACACACCG